rnacentral:rRNA from 1 species
CCUACGGGGGACAGCAGUGAGGAAUAUUGGUCAAUGGACGAGAGUCUGAACCAGCCAAGUAGCGUGAAGGAUGACUGCCCUAUGGGUUGUAAACUUCUUUUAUAUGGGAAUAAAAUGUUCCACGUGUGGGAUUUUGUAUGUACCAUAUGAAUAAGGAUCGGCUAACUCCGUGCCAGCAGCCGCGGUAAUACGGAGGAUCCGAGCGUUAUCCGGAUUUAUUGGGUUUAAAGGGAGCGUAGGUGGAUUGUUAAGUCAGUUGUGAAAGUUUGCGGCUCAACCGUAAAAUUGCAGUUGAAACUGGCAGUCUUGAGUACAGUAGAGGUGGGCGGAAUUCGUGGUGUAGCUGUGCAAUGCUUAGAUAUCACGAAGAACUCCGAUUGCGAAGGCAGUUCACUGGACUGCAACUGACACUGAGGCUCGAAAGUGUGGGUAUCAAACAGGAUUAGAUACCCUGGUAGUC